UCAUAAACAAGGAAUCAAAACUGUGUCUUGUCAACAUUGUACGAACAAAAUCAAGUAAAGUAAGUUUAAAGUAGAUAAAAUGUGGAAAAUUAAUUGUUUAUCGCAACAGAGCAUAGUGAAUAUAGGGGUAAUUUAUACGCUCGGCGUAGUGGUCGUGUUGUCCUGUGUAUUCGCACUCGCUGCCACCAAGACCAUCAACUACUGCGGCGCCAAGAUGUGUGGAGGCACCAAUGCACAUACUUUCUGCCGGUACCGUGAAGGCCCCAGCAAUAAAUGUGUGGGGUAUGAAGAAGCCAAACUUACAAGUGCAGAGAAGACGAGAGUGCUAUCGCGGCUCAACAGUCAUAGAAAUGUAGCGGCUGGAGGAGGUGUCCGGGGCUUACCUCCCGCUGGGGAUAUGCUCAAAUUGCGUUGGGUUGAGCAGCUGGCUAAUGAAGCCCAGCGCUGGGCAGACCAGUGUCGACCGCCGCGAAUCGUUGAAGAACACGAUGCUUGUCGCGAUCUAUACUCGUUGAAAGUCGGUCAGUGCGUGGCGUCGGUAGUGGGGAAGGAACCAGUGGAACGAGUCGAGAAAAUGGUCGACGCUUGGUACAUACAAAGCAUAUUGUACAAAGGCAAUGUCACCUACUAUGUGCCACCACGGAAAGGUGAGAAAUACUACGGAGAUUUUGCGCAGACCAUGUGGGCGAAAAGUUAUAUGGUGGGCUGUGCCCGCAGUCGAUUUAAGACGCCUCGGCAUGGUCGUCUCCUAAAUGUGGAGCGUCUAGUCUGCAACAUAGCACCGUAUGGGCCUGAACCGACGAUGCCAUUGUGGUUACCUGAAGCACCAACCGACGUCUGUCCAUCUCGUUCAACGCAAUCUACUGUAUGGCGUAGCCUUUGUGAUUACCAACAAAAACAAACCGGUAUUAUUUCGCUCGACCCAUCUAUGUCACUUAAAGAACAUUUAAUUUUAAAUAGUGUAUUAGAAAUAGAAGCAAAUGAGACAUUAAACUAUGUAGGCAGUCUGGACGAGGUUUAUAUAGCUCAAGCGGCUAAAGCAGUAAUGGAGAAUAUGUAUACGACACAAGCAUAUUUAUUUUCGGUGCCGAAGAGUGAAAUCCUUGAUUUAGUCGACGUUAUUACAAUGGAAUUUGUCCCUGAAGCGAUAACAGAAAAUCCGAGAUUUAGAAAAAACACUUCGAUGAAUACUAUAAUAAACAGAACAGUGAAAUUGGAAACCAAAAAAGUAAGAAAAGUCACAAAAGCCAAAAGAAGAAAACAUAGACGGAAUAAGAUUAAAAGACCGGGAAUUCAUAUGGCAUUUGUACCUCAAGCGAUAACAGAAAACUCGAGUUUUAAUAAAAACACUUCGAUGAAUACUAUAAACAGAACAGUGAAAUUGAAAACCAAAAAAGCAAGAAAACUUACAAAAGCCAAAAGAAGAAAACAUAGACGGAAUAAGAUCAAAAGACAGGGAAUUCAUAAAAGGAAAUAUUUGAAGAAAUUGAUACAAAAGACAAAAAAUAACAAAGCCAUUAAGAAAAGACAUAAGAAAGGACAUAAGAAAAGACAUAAGAAAAGACACAAGAAAAAAAGAAACAUGCUGGAAAUGUGUUGACUGGAACGACCAAGAAUAAGACGUUGAAUCUUUUAUUGAAUACAGAUGUUUCAAAUUCAACUGAGUACUAUAGUGAUAAAUUUCAAAACAUGAAUUUCUGCCAUAAUCGCACCAAUGGCUCAUGUGUGGAUGAAGGGCAUAAUUUCACUAGCGUGUCCGAAGUUACCGAGGAUUUUAAUUUCACGGUGGCACCUAAACAACUAUUGGAAGAUGUGACAGAUGAAAGACAUUUAACAAGCAGACGUCAUUUCGGAGUAUUUGAUAUACAUAUGUACGGCUUGAUGGACCAACAUAGCUUCAGUGGCAGCGGCGACGACGCAGACUACAUCGUCGUACAUGAUGAAAAUACUACUACUACGACCACUACGACGGAAGAUCCUGAAUCAGCACGAGAGCUGCAAGAAGCUUUGGAACGUAUUGAAAAUGAUUUGGAACCAAGUGAUGUACACGGAAAGGCACGAAGAGAUCUGGGUCUGAAAGAGUUGGAAGCAACAUCUCGUGAAUAUGCAGAGACUCCCAGCAACGA